GACGAACGCUGGCGGCGUGCUUAACACAUGCAAGUCGAACGGAAAGGCCCUGCUUUUGUGGGGUGCUCGAGUGGCGAACGGGUGAGUAACACGUGAGUAACCUGCCCUUGACUUUGGGAUAACUUCAGGAAACUGGGGCUAAUACCGGAUAGGAGCUCCUGCUGCAUGGUGGGGGUUGGAAAGUUUCGGCGGUUGGGGAUGGACUCGCGGCUUAUCAGCUUGUUGGUGGGGUAGUGGCUUACCAAGGCUUUGACGGGUAGCCGGCCUGAGAGGGUGACCGGCGACAUUGGGACUGAGAUACGGCCUAGAAUCCUACGGGAGGCAGCAGUGGGGAAUAUUGCACAAUGGGCGGAAGCCUGAUGCAGCAACGCCGCGUGCGGGAUGACGGCCUUCGGGUUGUAAACCGCUUUCGCCUGUGACGAAGCGUGAGUGACGGUAAUGGGUAAAGAAGCACCGGCUAACUACGUG
rnacentral:rRNA from 1 species